rnacentral:rRNA from 1 species
CAAUAGCGUAUAUUAAAGUUGUUGCGGUUAAAAAGCUCGUAGUUGGAUAUCUGCUUAGUAUUGACGCAUUAAUUUCUAUAAUUGAUGUCGACCAUAGCUGAGCAUUGUUUGCUGAAGUUGUUAAACUUAAUUGUUUGACGGUAGAAGCAAAACUUCACCUUGAGGAAAUUAGAGUGCUUAAUGCAAGUGUUCUGCUUUGAAUAUUUUAGCAUGGAAUAAUAACUUAGGGCUUUGGAUAUAUUAGUAUUUCUAUGUCCAAAGUAAUGUAUAAUAGAGGUAGUUGGGGGCAUUCGUAUUUAACUGUCAGAGGUGAAAUUCUUGGAUUUGUUAAAGACGAACUAAUACGAAAGCAUUUGACACGGAUACUCUCGUUGA